GUAGGUGGCAAGCGUUGUCCGGAAUUAUUGGGCGUAAAGCGCGCGCAGGCGGUUCUUUAAGUCUGAUGUGAAGCCCACGGGCUCAACCGUGGAGGGUCAUUGGAAACUGGAGAACUUGAGUACAGAAGAGGAAAGCGGAAUUCCACGUGUAGCGGUGAAAUGCGUAGAGAUGUGGAGGAACACCAGUGGCGAAGGCGGCUUCCUGGUCUGUAACUGACGCUGAGGCGCGAAAGCGUGGGGAGCAAACAGGAUUAGAUACCCUGGUAGUCCACGCCGUAAACGAUGAGUGCUAAGUGUUAGGGGGUUUCCGCCCCUUAGUGCUGCAGCUAACGCAUUAAGCACUCCGCCUGGGGAGUACGGCCGCAAAGGCUG
rnacentral:rRNA from 1 species